rnacentral:rRNA from 1 species
UACGUAGGUGGCAAGCGUUGUCCGGAUUUACUGGGCGUAAAGCGAACGCAGGCGGGCCUUUAAGUAGGAAGUGAAAGGUUGGAGCUCAACUCUAACACUGCUCCCUAUACUGGAGGCCUUGAGUUUCGGAGAGGAAGACGGAACUGCAGGUGUAGCGGUGAAAUGCGUUGAUAUCUGCAGGAACACCAAUGGCGAAAGCAGUCUUCUGGACGAAUACUGACGCUCAGGUUCGAAAGCCAAGGUGAGCAAACAGG